rnacentral:rRNA from 1 species
GACGAACGCUGGCGGCGUGCUUAACACAUGCAAGUCGAACGGAAAGGCCCUGCUUUUGUGGGGUUCUCGAUUGGCGAACGGGUGAGUAACACGUGAGUAACCUGCCCUUGUCUUUGUGAUAACUUCAGGAAACUCGGGCUAAUACCGGAUAUGAUCUCCUGCUGCAUGGUGGGGGUUGGAAAGUUUCGGCGGUGGUGGAUGGACUCGCUGCUUAUCAGCUUGUUUGGGGGGUAGUGGCGUACCAAGGCUGUGAGGGGUAGCCCGCCUGAGAGGGUGGACGGGCACAUGGGGCCUGAGAUACGGACCAGAAUCGUACGGGAGGCAGUAGUGGGGAAUAUUGCACAAUGGGCGGACGCGUGAUGCAGAAACGCCGCGUGCGGGAUGACGGCCUUCGGGUUGUAAACAGCUUUCGCAUGUGACGAAGCGUGAGUGACGGUAAUGGGUCAAGAAGCAACGGCUAACUACGUG